rnacentral:rRNA from 1 species
CACGGAGUUAGCCGAUCCUUAUUCGUACCGUACUUUCAAAACCCUACUCGUAAGGCAUUUUACCCCGGUACAAAAGCAGUUUACAACUCGUAGAGCCGUCGUCCUGCACGCGGCAUGGCUGGUUCAGGAUUCCUCCCAUUGACCAAUAUUCCUCACUGCUGCCUCCCGUAGGAGUCUGGUCCGUAUCUCAGUACCAGUGUGGGGGAUUAACCUCUCAGUUCCCCUAGAUAUCGUAGCCAUGGUGAGCCGUUACCUCUCCAUCCAGCUAAUAUCACGCAUGCCCAUCCGGAACCACCUCAGUUUUCAACCGACAAAGAUGCCUUCGUCAGUAUUACGGAGUAUUAGACCAAAUUUCUUACGGAUUAUCCUCCUGUCCCGGGCAGGUUGCAUACGACGUUACGCACCCGUCCGCCGGUCGCCAUCAAUAAAUAUUGCUAUUCAUUAUGCUCGACCCCUCGACUUGCUAUGUAGUUACGGCCGUCGCCGUCGUACGUCGUUCAUCC